rnacentral:rRNA from 1 species
CAGUAACGGCGAGUGAAGCGGCAACAGCUCAAAUUUGAAAUCUGGUCCCUAGGGCCCGAGUUGUAAUUUGUAGAGGAUGCUUUUGGUGAGGUGCCGCCCGAGUUCCCUGGAACGGGACGCCACAGAGGGUGAGAGCCCCGUCUGGCUGGCCGCCGAGCCUCUGUAAAGCUCCUUCGACGAGUCGAGUAGUUUGGGAAUGCUGCUCAAAAUGGGAGGUAUAUGUCUUCUAAAGCUAAAUAUUGGCCAGAGACCGAUAGCGCACAAGUAGAGUGAUCGAAAGAUGAAAAGCACCUUGAAAAGAGGGUUAAAUAGUACGUGAAAUUGUUGAAAGGGAAGCGCUUGUGACCAGACUUGGGCGCGGCGGAUCAUCCGGGGUUCUCUCCGGUGCACUUCGCCGCGUCUAGGCCAGCAUCAGUUCGUCGCGGGGGAAAAAGGCUUCGGGAACGUGGCUCCUCCGGGAGUGUUAUAGCCCGUUGCAUAAUACCCUGCGGUGGACUGAGGACCGCGCAUCUGCAAGGAUGCUGGCGUAAUGGUCACCAGCGACCCGUCUUGAAACACGGACCAAGGAGUCGUCUUCGUAUGCGAGUGUUCGGGUGUCAAACCCCUACGCGUAAUGAAAGUGAACGCAGGUGAGAGCUUCGGCGCAUCAUCGACCGAUCCUGAUGUUCUCGGAUGGAUUUGAGUAAGAGCAUACGGGGCCGGACCCGAAAGAAGGUGAACUAUGCCUGUAUAGGGUGAAGCCAGAGGAAACUCUGGUGGAGGCUCGCAGCGGUUCUGACGUGCAAAUCGAUCGUCAAAUAUGGGCAUGGGGGGCGAAAGACUAAUCGAACCUUCUAGUA